GAUGAACGCUGGCGGCGUGCCUAAUACAUGCAAGUCGAGCGAACGGACGAGAAGCUUGCUUCUCUGAUGUUAGCGGCGGACGGGUGAGUAACACGUGGAUAACCUACCUAUAAGACUGGGAUAACUUCGGGAAACCGGAGCUAAUACCGGAUAAUAUUUUGAACCGCAUGGUUCAAAAGUGAAAGACGGUCUUGCUGUCACUUAUAGAUGGAUCCGCGCUGCAUUAGCUAGUUGGUAAGGUAACGGCUUACCAAGGCAACGAUGCAUAGCCGACCUGAGAGGGUGAUCGGCCACACUGGAACUGAGACACGGUCCAGACUCCUACGGGAGGCAGCAGUAGGGAAUCUUCCGCAAUGGGCGAAAGCCUGACGGAGCAACGCCGCGUGAGUGAUGAAGGUCUUCGGAUCGUAAAACUCUGUUAUUAGGGAAGAACAUAUGUGUAAGUAACUGUGCACAUCUUGACGGUACCUAAUCAGAAAGCCACGGCUAACUACGUGCCAGCAGCCGCGGUAAUACGUAGGUGGCAAGCGUUAUCCGGAAUUAUUGGGCGUAAAGCGCGCGUAGGCGGUUUUUUAAGUCUGAUGUGAAAGCCCACGGCUCAACCGUGGAGGGUCAUUGGAAACUGGAAAACUUGAGUGCAGAAGAGGAAAGUGGAAUUCCAUGUGUAGCGGUGAAAUGCGCAGAGAUGUGGAGGAACACCAGUGGCGAAGGCGACUUUCUGGUCUGUAACUGACGCUGAUGUGCGAAAGCGUGGGGAUCAAACAGGAUUAGAUACCCUGGUAGUCCACGCCGUAAACGAUGAGUGCUAAGUGUUAGGGGGUUUCCGCCCCUUAGUGCUGCAGCUAACGCAUUAAGCACUCCGCCUGGGGAGUACGACCGCAAGGUUGAAACUCAAAGGAAUUGACGGGGACCCGCACAAGCGGUGGAGCAUGUGGUUUAAUUCGAAGCAACGCGAAGAACCUUACCAAAUCUUGACAUCCUUUGACAACUCUAGAGAUAGAGCCUUCCCCUUCGGGGGACAAAGUGACAGGUGGUGCAUGGUUGUCGUCAGCUCGUGUCGUGAGAUGUUGGGUUAAGUCCCGCAACGAGCGCAACCCUUAAGCUUAGUUGCCAUCAUUAAGUUGGGCACUCUAAGUUGACUGCCGGUGACAAACCGGAGGAAGGUGGGGAUGACGUCAAAUCAUCAUGCCCCUUAUGAUUUGGGCUACACACGUGCUGCAAUGGACAAUACAAAGGGCAGCGAAACCGCGAGGUCAAGCAAAUCCCAUAAAGUUGUUCUCAGUUCGGAUUGUAGUCUGCAACUCGACUACAUGAAGCUGGAAUCGCUAGUAAUCGUAGAUCAGCAUGCUACGGUGAAUACGUUCCCGGGUCU
rnacentral:rRNA from 1 species